UACGUAGGGACCGAGCGUUGUCCGGAAUCAUUGGGCGUAAAGAGCGUGUAGGCGGCUAGGUAGGUCCGUUGUGAAAACUCGAGGCUCAACCUCGAGACGCCGGUGGAAACCAUCUAGCUAGAGUCCGGAAGAGGAGAGUGGAAUUCCUGGUGUAGCGGUGAAAUGCGCAGAUAUCAGGAAGAACACCCGUGGCGAAGGCGGCUCUCUGGGACGUGACUGACGCUGAGACGCGAAAGCGUGGGGAGCGAACGG
rnacentral:rRNA from 1 species